rnacentral:rRNA from 1 species
CGCUUCUUUCCUCCCGAGUGCUUGCACUCAAUUGGAAAGAGGAGUGGCGGACGGGUGAGUAACACGUGGGUAACCUACCCAUCAGAGGGGGAUAACACUUGGAAACAGGUGCUAAUACCGCAUAACAGUUUAUGCCGCAUGGCAUAAGAGUGAAAGGCGCUUUCGGGUGUCGCUGAUGGAUGGACCCGCGGUGCAUUAGCUAGUUGGUGAGGUAACGGCUCACCAAGGCCACGAUGCAUAGCCGACCUGAGAGGGUGAUCGGCCACACUGGGACUGAGACACGGCCCAGACUCCUACGGGAGGCAGCAGUAGGGAAUCUUCGGCAAUGGACGAAAGUCUGACCGAGCAACGCCGCGUGAGUGAAGAAGGUUUUCGGAUCGUAAAACUCUGUUGUUAGAGAAGAACAAGGACGUUAGUAACUGAACGUCCCCUGACGGUAUCUAACCAGAAAGCCACGGCUAACUACGUGCCAGCAGCCGCGGUAAUACGUAGGUGGCAAGCGUUGUCCGGAUUUAUUGGGCGUAAAGCGAGCGCAGGCGGUUUCUUAAGUCUGAUGUGAAAGCCCCCGGCUCAACCGGGGAGGGUCAUUGGAAACUGGGAGACUUGAGUGCAGAAGAGGAGAGUGGAAUUCCAUGUGUAGCGGUGAAAUGCGUAGAUAUAUGGAGGAACACCAGUGGCGAAGGCGGCUCUCU